GUUGAGUGAGCACUGCAGCAGAGCCUCUUGCCAGCCCAAACCAGUGAGAUUGUGGAAGCGGGUGAGGGCUGUUGCAGAGCAUUUUGCUGUGAGGUUUGGCCUGAAUAUGUGAGUGGCUUCAUCAGUGGUGGGAUGAAGGAGGUGAGUGACAGCAAGCCAGGAGUGUGAGCCAUCCAACUUGGUGCCUAGCUGUGGAGGCUCCUGGCCUAGCAGCCCCUCAGCUCUUCCUGCUUAAUGAUUAUAUAAUGGCCUGUGUUGAAAAGGACCUCAAAGAUAAUCUGCUUUCAACUCCUUGACCAGGCUGCCUUGAAUGCCUCCAGAACCUCUCUGGGCAGGCUGUUGCCACCCUCCGAGUGAAAAGCUUCUUCCUAGGUUCCUGGUGGUAUGACUCUGGUGCCUGGUGAGUUGUCUCUGUUUGUCCCCAACCUGCAUGUACUACCCCUGGAAUGGAGUUUAUGAUUGGGGCUGGGUGCCAGGGGACAAAAGCCCCUUCUGCUUGGGGGUGACAGUGUGUGGCAUUCCUGGCUCCUCCCUUGUGGUGAGGCUUGAUGGUGCUUUUCUUUCAGCCCUGAAGGUGUGUGGCAGGUCCUCUCCUGGAGGAACGGAAUUGAUGGAGUGUGAGAGUGGCUCCUGUAGUGGUGUUCCUGGUCCCACGCUGGAAGGGGGGAAGAUGAGGUGAGGAGGAACUGAGUUGUGUGCUCUAUGGGAGGAGAAAGUUCAUUUCUAACUUCAGGUUUCCUUGCAAAGAUGGUUUCAAUCAAAGGCAGAAAUGCUCUGCAUUACAGGUAGGAGCUAGUAUGCCUAAGAAUAUCUGUACUAAAAUGGAACGCCCAGACUUAGCUAGCUGAAGUUCUUGUGGUGAAGUGGACACCUGUCGCAACGUGCACGCCGAAGUCACCCGCUGUACCAAUAUGGUUAUUGCAUAGUGCUUAUUUAUUGUAAUUCGACUACAACAUUUAUAGAGCAUCAGGUAGGUGUCGCGCGCUACAACACUGUUAAUUGGACAGUGGAUAUCAUCACAUAGGCAUUCUUGCAGUUAGAUAAUGGUUAGCAGUCCCAUAGAGCACAACCUGGAGGUGUAGAUGUUUGACCUUGCAACACAGCAGCUGUUCCUCGUCUCAGGCCUCCAAGGACACUCCAGGGAUUACUCGAGCGUGUUCUAAUAAAUAUGCCCACUGUCCAUCA
rnacentral:lncRNA from 1 species